CCACGUGCCAUGUCUUAGUACGGCGAGUGAAGCGGCAAAAGCUCAAAUUUGAAAGCUAGCACCUUCGGUGUUCGCGUUGUAAUUUGAAGAUAGUUUCCUUGAGUAGUCCUUUAUCUAUGUUCCUUGGAACAGGACGUCAUAGAGGGUGAGAACCCCGUAUGAUUUUGGAUACUACUCUUUGUGGGAUUCUAUCGAAGAGUCGAGUUGUUUGGGAAUGCAGCUCUAAGUGGGUGGUAAAUUCCAUCUAAAGCUAAAUAUUGGCGAGAGACCGAUAGCGAACAAGUACAGUGAUGGAAAGAUGAAAAGAACUCUGAAGAGAGAGUGAAAAAGUACGUGAAAUUGCUGAAAGGGAAGGGCUUGAGGUCAGACUUGGUGUUUAAUGAUUAUCAGUUCUUCUUGGACUGUGCACUCGUUUUUCACCGGGCCAAUAUCAGUUUUAGCGGUAGAGUACCCCUUGAAAUGUGGCUUCCUUCGGGGAGUGUUAUAGUCUUGGGGAGAUCUACUUGCUGGGACUGAGGACUGCGCUUCGGCAAGGAUAUUGGCGUAAUGACCUUAAGCCGCCCGUCUUGACC
rnacentral:rRNA from 1 species